rnacentral:rRNA from 1 species
UACGUAGGGUGCAGGCGUUAAUCGGAAUUACUGGGCGUAAAGCGUGCGCAGGCGGUCUCUUAAGACAGGUGUGAAAUCCCCGGGCUUAACCUGGGAACUGCGCUUGUAACUGAGAGGCUAGAGUGUGGCAGAGGGGGGGUGGAAUUCCACGUGUAGCAGUGAAAUGCGUAGAGAUGUGGAGGAACACCGAUGGCGAAGGCAGCCCCCUGGGCUAACACUGACGCUCAUGCACGAAAGCGUGGGGAGCAAACAGG